UACAGAGGGGGCAAGCGUUGUUCGGAAUUACUGGGCGUAAAGGGCGCGUAGGCGGCCUGUUAAGUCGAACGUGAGAUCCCCGGGCUCAACCCGGGAACUGCGUCCGAUACUGGCAGGCUUGAAUCCGGGAGAGGGAUGUGGAAUUCCAGGUGUAGCGGUGAAAUGCGUAGAUAUCUGGAGGAACACCGGUGGCGAAGGCGGCAUCCUGGACCGGUAUUGACGCUGAGGCGCGAAAGCCAGGGGAGCAAACGGG
rnacentral:rRNA from 1 species